rnacentral:rRNA from 1 species
GAUGAACGCUAGCGGCAGGCCUAACACAUGCAAGUCGAGGGGCAGCACAUAAAGUGGUUUACUACUUUUGGUGGCGACCGGCGGACGGGUGCGUAACGCGUAUGCAACCUGCCUCCAACAGGGGGAUAACGGAGAGAAAUUUCCACUAAUACCCCAUAAUAUCAGAAUCGGCAUCGGUUUUGGCUGAAAACUCCGGUGGUCGGAGAUGGGCGUGCGUUGUAUCAGAUAGUUGGUGAGGUAACGGCUCACCAAGUCAACGAUACAUAGGGGGACUGAGAGGUUAGCCCCCCACACUGGUACUGAGACACGGACCAGACACCUACGGGAGGCAGCAGUGAGGAAUAUUGGUCAAUGGGGGCAACCCUGAACCAGCCAUGCCGCGUGCAGGAAGACGGCUCUAUGAGUUGUAAACUGCUUUUACAAGGGGAUAAAUCGGUGUACGUGUACACCGUUGAAGGUACCUUGGAAUAAGGAUCGGCUAACUCCGUGCCAGCCGCCGCAGUAA